rnacentral:rRNA from 1 species
UACGUAGGGUGCGAGCGUUAAUCGGAAUUACUGGGCGUAAAGCGUGCGCAGGCGGUUUUGUAAGACAGAGGUGAAAUCCCCGGGCUCAACCUGGGAACUGCCUUUGUGACUGCAAGGCUUGAGUGCGGCAGAGGGGGAUGGAAUUCCGCGUGUAGCAGUGAAAUGCGUAGAGAUGCGGAGGAACACCGAUGGCGAAGGCAGCCCCCUGGGCCAACACUGACGCUCAGGCACGAAAGCGUGGGGAGCAAACAGG